UUAAAAUAUAUAAUACAGUAUAAUACACAACGUUAUUAUCCCCCCAAAUAUCACUGGGACAGUUUAGUUUUAACUACCCAGGCUCCUUGACAAACGUGUGAGGAAAAAAGUUCUUGUGGCUCGCGCAAAGAGCGCCAAAUGAAGUCCUGUGAGGUCACAAAACUGCUCAACGUCAGAAUGACAAAACACGGCUGUACGAUUAAAAAGCAUCAUUCUACUUUUGCUUCAGACUGACAGUGAUCCUGAUGACCCUGAAAUUCUGAGUAGUCCAGCACCUUCAUUGUGCAAUUUGUGAAGAUUUGAGAUGCCCUGCUGGAACCUUCUUUCAGAGAUCAAAUAUAAUGGUCUGAAAUGAGCGGGAACAGAUGGACUCAGGUCUAUUUUUGGAGGGUGAUGCAAGAGAAUCUGACGGGUGCUUAGAAGUUUACGUUGAAAUCUUGGUUACUUUCCAGACCAUUUUAGUUCACAGUGCACAAGGGAUCAGAAGUUAUUGAGGUGAGACAGAAAGAAUGGGGCCGGCUCAUAGUCUGCUCUCAAACCUGCAUUACUUGCGUAAGUACGACAUCUCAGGCCUGUCAGGAACAUGUGCUGCACCGCGGCUCUGACAGAGAGCGUCUCAUCUGAAUGAAUAUUCUCCAGAUGUCUGACCCGUAUUCUCUCAAUCUCCUGCUGUGAAAUGCUCUUAGUUAAAAGCGAAAAUGACCUAAAUGACUAGAAUUUAACAUCUUAAAGGGACAGUUAGCCCAGUUUGUCUACAUUUACUAACGCUCAUGUUGUUGCAAACCCAUAUGUUGUAAUAGGGACAAAAUCACCAAAAAGCACCAUAAAAGUAUCAUGCGCUAUAAUCAUAGUCUCUUGGUAAGUCAUACGAUAGUUUUGGGAGGAACAGACUGAAAGUGAAGUUAUUUUUCACUGAUGACUUACCUUUUCCUCCACUGAAACUUGCAUUUACAUUGAGUUAUUUAGCAAACACUUUUAUCUAAAGCAAUUUAUAAAUGAGGAGCAUUAAAAAAAAUAGUACUUUAUCAUGAGAUUCAUCAGUUCUUCCAAGAAAGUCUCAAGAAAAUCCUCAAGAAAGAC
ensembl:lncRNA